UUCUCUGUAGAGUCUGCAUAUCAAUAAGCGGAGGAAAAGAAACUAACAAGGAUUCCCUUAGUAACGGCGAGUGAAGCGGGAAGAGCUCAAAUUUGAAAUCUUCAAGGUUCUACCUUGACGAAUUGUAGUUUAUAGAAGUGUUUUCUGUUAGUGGAGUGGCAAAAGUUCUUUGGAAUAGGACAUCAUAGAGGGUGAGAAUCCCGUAUUUGGUCAUUCCUCCUAGCGUUGUGAUACACUUUCAACGAGUCGGAUUGUUUGGGAAUGCAGUCCAAAAUGGGUGGUAAAUUUCAUCUAAAGCUAAAUAUUGGCGAGAGGCCGAUAGCGAACAAGUACCGUGAGGGAAAGAUGAAAAGAACUUUGAAAAGAGAGUUAAACAGUACGUGAAAUUGUCAAAAGGGAAGCGUUUGACACCAGUGUUGUUUUUCCGAAAAUCAAUUACGAAUGUUUUGUUUUUGAGGAGUUAUGACUUCAUCGGCUUGCUCCUUUCUUUACGAAACUUUCUUAAUGCACUUUUCGGUUAACAAGUCAACAUCAAUUUCUUUUGUUGUAAAAGGGUACGAGGAAGGUGGCUUUCUUUUCGGAGAAAGUGUUUAUAGCCUUGUGCCUCUGCAAUCGGAGAGAUUGAGGUCUGCAGCGUAGAUCCUUCGGGGUUAGAUACAUUUGUGCUAAGUUAUAGCCUUUCAUAGACAACUUGUUGACUAUGAUUCAGUCAUGUAGCUUACUCGCUUAUGCUAUUUUACCUACGCUUAGGAUGUUGAGUCAUCACACAUCUCU
rnacentral:rRNA from 1 species